AGGACGGCGUUAGGCAGUCGUUGCUGUGGUAGGUUCGUGUCCUUUCAUCCUAGGAUGACCUGCGUUAUUAGCAGUGCUGUGUCGAGGACAACGCCAAGCGCGCACGGCCCGCCGUGAUCAGCGUGGCUUGGACAGGCGCGAUGCGUCAUGGGAAUGAGCGGUCCAAGAUCCAAGAUGGCGGCCUCCACAGAUUAUCGGAUGACGAGAUUACACACGAACACGCCUGGAAACGUUCGAAACGUACCUUUCCAAACGUAUUCAUUCCACGUAACCCGUUCUAAAGGUGCUGAUGACACUCAACCCAGGAAGGCCAUCAGUGCACAUGAGAUGACAGCAGAUGAGAAGCUGAUUAUGCAAUGGAUUACCUGCUUCUACCUGCAGAUGGCAGAGUUAUAAUGAACACUAACCAAGUCCCAAUUUCUUUAAUAUGCAUAAACAAUGAGUCUGUAAAAAGAUAAACAGCUAGUAGAACUAGAAGCGUGCCUUUCUGUGAUGCACUGUGGUACUAUGGCAUUUAUUAUGACUCAGAUUUAGAUGCUUUGAAAUCAUAGCUCUUUGGACUGUAGAUGUAAUUGUCAUGUUGAAGCUAAUAUGUAGCAUGCAGUAUCCUAGAUGCAAUGUUGUGAGGAGCCAUUUUGCAUAUCCAUAUCUACAAAUAUCUUGCAAUUAUAUACUUCAUGACUAUAUGUAUGCUGUCAGUAACUGUAAGUCCCUGAGGCAUGACUGAUUGACCAAGGAAGCAGAGCACUUUCUGAUGUUCGAAUUCUGUGUUUUAUCAAAACUCCAUUGAACAGGUAGCUAUGGAGAGGGGUGAAUUAAUUGUGUGUUUAAGAUACUCUCCAGGAAAUGUUUAGGUAUAUAAUGUUGAGCAAUUCCUGAUGAAAUGAUUCCUUAAAAAAAAACAGUACAUUUCAUACUUUAAGUGUAGAGCUUUUCACCCUACAUUGUACACACAUGUAUGAGAUCAUUGUCAAUGUGAUGGGAUCUGGUGUGUAUCCUGCUAUGCAAUGCUGACUUAAAGUGUUAAUGACACCAAUGAUAGCAAUGUAGCAACAUUUAGCAAUGUAGCAACAUUUUGGUGAUUGUAAUCCAUUGAGAUAGAAUUACUAAUUGAAAAUAGAACUUUGCACUAAAAUAAACCCUCCUGGUGUUAUUGAAUAUAAAACCAAUUGAAGAUCAUACUUCCAGCUCUUGUUUCCAGGUUGUCACCAGGUAAUUGAAUUAAACAUUGAUUGUAGCUGCACUGGCUGCGGACCGUCAGUUGUGGAUGAAACUUGUGAUCAAGUGCUCUGCCACCGACUGAUGAUGAGGAUGAUGAUGUUGAGGACUACAAUGAUUCUUAACUUGCCACGGUGGCUUGCGAAAAAAUAAUUUUGGGAAGCAAACUAAGCAAAUAUUUUUGUAUCUUGCAAGUAUGUGUUAUCUCCUUAAACAAAGCACAGUGUGCUCAUCAACAGUACUUUUUAGCAACACUCGAUGUCUUGUUCUGAACCGGCCGCAGUGUUCAAUGAGAUGUCAUUGAAGUAAUAAUCAAUGCUCAAUUCAAUUACCUGGUGGCAGGAAACAAGAGCUGAAGUAUGAUCUUUGACAGGGUUUGAUGUUCUAUAACAUCAUACGACUAGUCGACUGUAACUUUGGUCUGUGUUCAUACAAGAAUACUAUUACCGGCAAAGUUAGUAAUAAAAUUAUGUAUUUUGGUGUCAUAGACACUUAAAGUAUGUCACGAUGAUGGGGGUAAGAAGAACAAAAUUGAUUUUAUUUUUAAAAGCUUUUAUUUUGCUUUCAUUUCAUAUUGAAAUGAAUAAUCUGAAUCAUUAUUGCUUUACCUGUCCAUGUCUGUACGAUACAUAACGGUAAUUCAUGAAUUUUCCUUAUUUGCAUGCAUAUACAAAAAUAAGUGCCAACACAGGACAACAUCCAGUUGUGCAUUGUAUAUAAAGGUAUGAACAAGUUGGCCUCUAUUUUGCAGGUAGACAGUUAUUGAUCUAGAUCCUUUUUGUCAAGCUUUAUUUUGCUGCAGUCAAAUCGUCAAGAAAUAAACAGUGGUCUUUGGGAAAAAA